rnacentral:rRNA from 1 species
AUUGAACGCUGGCGGCAGGCCUAACACAUGCAAGUCGAGCGAGCGGCGGACGGGUGAGUAAUGCCUAGGAAUCUGCCUGGUAGUGGGGGAUAACGUCCGGAAACGGGCGCUAAUACCGCAUACCAUCAGAUGUGCCCAGAUGGGAUUAGCAAGUAGGUGGGGUAACGGCUAACCUAGGCGACGAUCCCUAGCUGGUCUGAGAGGAUGACCAGCCACACUGGAACUGAGACACGGUCCAGACUCCUACGGGAGGCAGCAGUGGGGAAUAUUGCAAAAUGGGCGCAAGCCGGAUGCAGCCAUGCCGCGGGGAUGAAGAAGGCCUUCGGGUUGUAAAGUACUUUCAGCGUGGAGGCGUUACCCGCAGAAGAAGCACCGGCUAACUCCGUGCCAGCAGCCGCGGUAAUUC